rnacentral:rRNA from 1 species
AAUAUUGGAAAAUGGGGGCAACCCUGAUACAGCCAUGCCGCGUGUGUGAAGAUGGAAAUAGGAUUGUACAGCACUUUAUGUAGAGAGAUAGGGUUGUAGAUUAAUACUCUGCAAUUCGACGUACCCAACAUAAUAAUCACCGGCUAACCUCGUGCCAGCAGCCGCGGUAAUACGAAGGGUGCAAGCGUUAAUCGGAAUUACUGGGCGUAAAGCGCGCGUAGGUGGUUUGUUAAGUUGGAAGUGAAAGCCCCGGGCUCAACCUGGGAACUGCUUUCAAAACUGGCAAGCUAGAGUAUGGCAGAGGGUGGUGGAAUUUCCUGUGUAGCGGUGAAAUGCGUAGAUAUAGGAAGGAACACCAGUGGCGAAGGCGACCACCUGGACUGAUACUGACACUGAGGUGCGAAAGCGUGGGGAGCAAAC